UACAGAGGGUGCAAGCGUUAAUCGGAGUUACUGGGCGUAAAGGGCGCGUAGGCGGUUAUUUAAGUAAGAUGUGAAAUCCCCGGGCUUAACCUGGGAACUGCAUCUUAAACUGAGUAACUGGAGUACAGUAGAGGGUGGCGGAAUUUCCGGUGUAGCGGUGAAAUGCGUAGAGAUCGGAAGGAACACCAGUGGCGAAGGCGGCCACCUGGACUGUAACUGACGCUGAGGCGCGAGAGCGUGGGGAGCAAACAGG
rnacentral:rRNA from 1 species